CCAGCUUGGCACAUUGUCUUUCUUGAAGGUUUGGAUUAGGACCUGCUCCCCAGUGAUCCUUGAAAAUGAGAAACCGUGAGGUGGUCCUGCUUAGCAAUGUGCAUGUGAAAGCAAUAAAGGUUCCCUUGUUUCCAAGUUGCCUAUCACAAAGAAGAAAACCCACCAAAAUCAUGUUUUGCUUACUGUGGUGCGAGAGUACAUCAAAAAGGUCAUGGACCCACGCUGCACUUCCUGGGACUACAGGAGCCUAAUCGCUACCACUUACACAUCCCAGUCCAGAAGAGAUUAAUUCAGCAAGAAACACUGCCGGGAAUGACACGUGGACUGGCAGGCCCUUAGAGGCAAAGAAUAUGGAACCCACAGCUCAAGGCGGACAGAACACUGCGUUCAUUUAUGGAUGUCUACUACUAUCACACAGUAGACUCUCAUCUAUUUUUUUUAGAUGAGUGAAUAAACAGCCUAUAAGGGUCAGUAUCCAAGAGAACCCUCAUCAAAAUUAGAAGAUGCUUUAAACUAGACACUUGUUUACCUUGCAAAUGAAAUCCCUAAAACAGACUAAACUCAAAGGGCAAGUAGUCCUGAACACCUGGGUGAAGGGGGAGGUGAUCUUCAAUAUAACUUCAAUAUUCUCGUGUUCUUUGAUUUCAAAGACUAUUUUA